CAAGCAAGAAAGAAAAUUAAAACUCAAAAAUGAACUCGCCCACUGGAACGUCUUCCCCAGACAAGGCGUGUGGUUUGUGCUUGCCCUUGCUCGGGAAAUAGCUACCCUAGUGAAAAUGGGCUUUCAUAAAGUUGUUCAACAAUCUUGGGCAGAUUGCCAAGAUUUGGAUUACCUCCGACUAGCUUAUAUUUAGGCUGUCAACCGUCAAAACCUGAGACUGGUGUGUUGUUGGAGGUGCCCCCCCAUCCAUGGUGCCACAAUGGACAACUCCUGGGCCAGGACGACAGAAAAAGCGUGCCUACCUCUUCAUAGUGCAUCAAAAUGAUUUGAGCACGAGCACGCAGGGCAAAACGAGCUGGGUCGUAUCCGUAUGUCAGGCUCCUUCAUGACCGGUAUCUGUGACAAGAGGGGCCUGGAGCUGAUCUACUGACACUGGCAAACACCUCAAAAGGGACAAAAGAUGGAGGACAAGUGAUAAGCUUUGGUCAUGGAGUCCUCUGACUGAAAGACAGUUUUAUACUGAUGUCUGAAUUGGGAAAUACCUUGUACUCCGCAUUAAAA